rnacentral:rRNA from 1 species
AACGAACGCUGGCGGCAUGCCUAACACAUGCAAGUCGAACGAGACCUUCGGGCUUAGUGGCGCACGGGUGCGUAACGGGUGGGAUCCUGCCCUUGGGUUCGGAAUACCUCCCCGAAUGGGGUGCUAAUACCGGAUAAUGUCUCCGGACCAAAGAUUUAUCGCCUUGGGAUGGGCCCGCGUUGGAUUAGCUAGUUGGUAGGGUAAAAGCCUACCACGGCGAGGAUCCAUAGCUGGUUUGAGAGGAUGAUCAGCCACUCUGGGGCUGAGACACGGCCCAGAAUCCUACGGGAUGGAGCAGUGGGGAAUAUUGGACAGUGGGCGAAAGCCUGAUGCAGCAAUGCCGCGUGAGUGAUGAAGGCCGUAGGGUUGUAAAGCUCUUUUACCCGGGAUGAUAAUGACAGUACCGGGAGAAUAAGCUCCGGCUAACUCCGUG